UCCUGGAUAGCUCGGUUGGUUGCACCAUGGUGCUCAUAACGCCAAGGUUGCAGGUUCGAUCCCCGUAUGGGAU